rnacentral:rRNA from 1 species
CCUACGGGUGGCAGCAGUGGGGAAUUUUGCACAAUGGGGGCAACCCUGAUGCAGCGAUGCCGCGUGUGUGAAGACGUCUUUCGGUAUGUAAAGCUCUUUCAGCAGGGAAGAUAAUGACGGUUCCUGAAUAAGAAUCUCCUGACAAUUACGUGCCAGUAGCCGCGGUAAUACGAAGGGUGCAAGCGUUAUCCGGAAUUAAUGGGUGUAAAGGGAGUGAGGGUGGCUGGGCAAGACAGAUGUGAAAACCCCGGGCUCAACCCCGGAAGCGCAUAUGAGACUGUCCCGCUGGAGUUCAGGAGAGGGAAGCGGAAUUCCAAGUGUAGCAGUGAAAUGCAUAGAUAUGUGGAGGAACACCAGUGGCGAAGACAGCUUACUGGACUGUAACUGACGCUGAGGCACGAAAGCGUGGGGAGCAAACAGGAUUAGAUACCCCUGUAGUC